UACAGAGGGGGCUAGCGUUGUUCGGAAUUACUGGGCGUAAAGUGUGCGCAGGCGGUCUCGCAAGUCAAGUGUGAAAGCCCCGGGCUUAACCUGGGAACUGCGCUUGAAACUACGAGACUCGAGUGUGGCAGAGGAAGGUGGGAAUUCCACGUGUAGCGGUGAAAUGCGUAGGAGAAUGUGGAGGAACACCGAUGGCGAAGGCAAUCCCCUGGGCCUGUAUUGGACGCUCCAGUGCACGAAAGCGUGGGGAGCAAACAGGGAAUUAGAUACCCGGUGGUAA
rnacentral:rRNA from 1 species